rnacentral:rRNA from 1 species
UCCCAGCUCCAAUAGCGUAUAUUAAAGUUGUUGCAGUUAAAAAGCUCGUAGUCGGAUUUCGGGUCGGGCCGAGCGGUCUGCCGAUGGGUAUGCACUGUUUGGCGCGGCCUUCUUUCCGGAGACCGCGGCUACUCUUAACUGAGCGGGCGUGGGAGACGGAUCGUUUACUUUGAAAAAAUCAGAGUGUUUCUAGCAGGCAGCUCGCUCUUGCAUAGGUUAGCAUGGGAUAAUUUAAUAGGACUCUGGUGCUAUUUUGUUGGUUUCGAACACCGGAGUAAUGAUUAAAAGGGGCAGUCAGGGGCACUCGUAUUCCGUCGAGAGAGGUGAAAUUCUCAGACCAAUGGAAGACGAACCACUGCGAAAGCAUUUGCCAGGGAUGUUUUCACUGAUCAAGAACGAAAGUUAGGGGAUCGAAGACGAUCAGAUACCGUCGUAGUCUUAACCAUAAACCAUGCCGACUAGGGAUUGGAGGGUGUUCGUUUCGACCUCUUCAGCACCUUACGGGAAACUAAAGUCUUUGGGUUCCGGGGGGAGUAUGGUCGCAAGGCUGAAACUUAAAGGAAUUGACGGAAGGGCACCACCAGGAGUGGAGCCUGCGGCUUAAUUUGACUCAACACGGGGAAACUUACCAGGUCCAGACAUUGUUAGGAUUGACAGAUUGAGAGCUCUUUCUUGAUUCGAUGGGUGGUGGUGCAUGGCCGUUCUUAGUUGGUGGAGUGAUUUGUCUGGUUAAUUCCGUUAACGAACGAGACCGUAGCCUGCUAAAUAGUUCCGCGAACUUCUUGUUGGCGGUCGACUUCUUAGAGGGACAACUUGUGACCAACAAGUGGAAGUUUGCGGCAAUAAC